rnacentral:rRNA from 1 species
AUGCGAAGGGUGCGAGCGUUAAUCGGAAUUACUGGGCGUAAAGCGCGCGUAGGCGGUUGGAUAAGUCGGAUGUGAAAGCCCCGGGCUCAACCUGGGAAUUGCAUUCGAAACUGUCCGGCUAGAGUAUGGUAGAGGGAAGCGGAAUUCCACAUGUAGCGGUGAAAUGCGUAGAUAUGUGGAGGAACACCAGUGGCGAAGGCGGCUUCCUGGACCAAUACUGACGCUGAGGUGCGAAAGCGUGGGGAGCAAACAGGAUUAGAAACCCUAGUAGUCC